CAAACAGUCUAGACUCAGGGAUUUCUUUCUGAUCCAGCAAAUGGAGAGAGAUCUAUAUCUAUCCUGCUGGUCUGGACUUUAUGAUUUGCACUCUGUUCGUACUCAGUGAGAGCGGAGGGCCUCCUUCAAUGAAGACAAUGGGCAUCUCUCCCUUGAUCUCAGCAGGCUUUAGAUCAGGCCCUUUUGGAUAGCUUCAUCACUACCACUUACAUUCGUCACAGAAGGGCUGCCACUUUGGUUAAACUCUCCACGUAGACAGGAAGCUCAACCAAGCAUUUCCUCAGCAUUGAUGGCAAAGACUGUCGAUUCACACACAGCGGCAUUCCUAAUACUCACACUUGAAAGGUGAAAUUGACAAGGCAGCUUCGUGAAGAGAAAAAGACACAGAAAAGCUGAGAGACACAGAGGAUAUAUGUCAACAUAAAUUUGAAAGCGCACUGAACUGUUUCAAAUCAUUAAGGUUUUGAUUUGCG